rnacentral:rRNA from 1 species
GCAAUUAAAAAGCUCGUAGUUGGAUUUCUGUGAGAGUGCCGGUGUCGGCUGAUGCUUGUACGCAGGCGCUCUUACAUCCUUCUGUUAACUGUUCUUGGCAUUUUAUUGCUGGUUCAGGGCUCAGAUAUUUUACCUUGAGAAAAUUAGAGUGUUUCAGGCAGGCUUGGCCGGAAUACAUUAGCAUGGAAUAAUGGAACAGGACCUGUGCGUCUCUCGGGGCGCCGGUCUCCGUUGUUGGUUUCGGGGACUAAUGUAAUGAUUAAUAGGGAUAGUUGGGGGCAUUAGUAUUUAAUUGUCAGAGGUGAAAUUCUCGGAUUUGUUAAAGACUAACUUAUGCGAAAGCAUUUGCCAAGGAUGUUUUCAUUAA